rnacentral:tRNA from 1 species
GCCUGUUUGGUUCAGUGGAUAGAGCGUCGGCCUGCAGAUCGAAGGGUCCCAGGUUCGAUUCCUGGUCAGGGCA